AGCUGGGUUGGGUUCCCCACGAGCUGGUAAUGUCCUCUGAAGGAAGAGUGUUUCUGCUCUGACCUCUAGGGUGUGGCUGGUUUCUCUGAACUGUGAUAAUCACCUCUGGGGGUGUAUCUGCUUCAACUGCUGGUAAAUUGUGAAGGUCUGAGCAGGAAUCUUUCUAGCACCUUAGAAAACUUCAUAGGAAAGUUGGAAAAUGUCAUGGUCCAGGAAUGUGAAUGCCAACCCACCCUGGACACAGCUCUGCAGUUCACACACAGAUGCAAAAGUAAAAGAUUUUAUCAAGAACAUCACCAAGUUAACUGAAGAGCUCCAGUCUCCUAUCCACACCUAAAAUGAAACUAUCAAUAGUAUUUUAGAAGCAAAUAUUUCCCAUUCAAAGGUACUGUCUCACCAGCUCUGCUUUGUUCAUGGCAGGAGACUCAGCCCACUUCGAGCUGCUGUUUCUGUGUCCUUGUCUCUCUGCCCUCCCCUCUGGGGGCUGGGGAAGUGGGCCACUGUGUGGAUGGCACAACUAGAGGCAGAAAGGAAGUGAGAAAACAUGCAAAGAACAAGGGUGUUGUUUGAUGCCAAAACCUCAAGGUCUUUAAUUUUGUAAUAGUGUUUUUACCGGGUGAGGGAGAAUAAAUUGUUGAUAUUUAUUCACAAAUAUCAGGAAUUGGUGAUUCCCAAAACUGAUGCAUGACACUUUAGGGGGUGCCUGCUUGAUUUGAUAGGGUUUAUAAAAUUCUAAAAAAGGAUACAAAACAGAAUCAUCUGAAAAACAUAAACUUCAGCUAAAAUUUUUUGAAUAAAGAAUAACUAUG